UGUGGCCUCCUCCAUACGUGCGGAACAAGUUGGACAGCCGCCUCCUCGAUCUGGACGGGACAAGAUCGGCGGCCGACUCCUUUGCGGCGGCUGUACCGAUCCUCCAACCUCCCGCGGAGCGACACCCGAAAGUUGCAGCAGAGGCGACCAAUGUCAAGAUCGUGAAGCCGAUAGAUGCAGCGUCGUCUGGAUAGCCCACUACUCGGAUGACAAAAAAAGGUUGAAGAAGAGCCGGCCAAUUGCAAGAUCGUGCAUCCAUCUGCUGUAAAUUCGAAGAAGAUCCGGCCAAUUCCAUGACAUGUCGCAGCGCUGGAUUUCGCUUUGGGAGUAGUCAUCUGAUCUCAGUUGCCUCCACUGACGGUUAAAUCUGGGACCAUCAGAUGUCUUGGAUGGUGGAAGCAAUUAGUUGUGAGCCGGUUACUGAUUUUUCACAUGACUACUCUUCCGGUUAUUUUAGCAAAAUUGAUCUGGAUUCUUAGAAAAGAAUUUACAUACAUACUAGCUCUACAAGAGGAAUUCUUUUUUAUAUGUGCUACGCAAUUCUUUCAGAGCCAAUGAAGAGUGUUUUCAAGGU